rnacentral:rRNA from 1 species
GAUCCUGGCUCAGGAUGAACGCUAGCUACAGGCUUAACACAUGCAAGUCGAGGGGCAGCGUGGUCUUAGCUUGCUAAGGCCGAUGGCGACCGGCGCACGGGUGAGUAACCCGUAUCCAACCUGCCGUCUACUCUUGGACAGCCUUCUGAAAGGAAGAUUAAUACAAGAUGGCAUCAUGAGUCCGCAUGUUCACAUGAUUAAAGGUAUUCCGGUAGACGAUGGGGAUGCG